rnacentral:rRNA from 1 species
UUCGCAAUGCCCGAAAGGGUGACGAAGCGACGCCGCGUGCGGGAAGGAGGCCUUCGGGUUGUAAACCGCUGUCGGGAGUUAGGAAAUGCAAGGAUGUAAAUAGCAUCUUUGCUUGACUAAGGCUCCGGAGGAAGCCACGGCUAACUCUGUGCCAGCAGCCGCGGUAAUACAGAGGCGGCAAGCGUUGUUCGGAAUUAUUGGGCGUAAAGAGCACGUAGGCGGCUGUGUAAGUCGGUUGUGAAAGCCUUCCGCUCAACGGGAGAACGGCAUCCGAUACUGCAUGGCUAGAGUGCGGGAGGGGAGAGUGGAACUUCUGGUGGAGCGGUGAAAUGCGUAGAUAUCAGAAGGAACGUCGGCGGCGAAAGCGACUCUCUGGCCCGAAACUGACGCUGAGUGUGCGAAAGCUAGGGGAGCAAACGGGAUUAGGUACCCCGGUAGUCCUAGCCGUAAACGAUGGGCACUAAGUAGAGGGGUUUU